GGGAGAGGAUGGCGGCCUGGUGGCCCCCACGGUCUUCAAAACCGUUGCGUCGCCUCGCGAGGGGUGAUGGGUCGGUUCGAUUCCGAUGCUCUCCCGCCA
rnacentral:tRNA from 1 species